rnacentral:rRNA from 1 species
CUAGCUUGCUAGAAGAUGACGAGCGGCGGACGGGUGAGUAAUGCUUGGGAACAUGCCUUUAGGUGGGGGACAACCAUUGGAAACGAUGGCUAAUACCGCAUAAUGUCUACGGACCAAAGGGGGCUUCGGCUCUCGCCUUUAGAUUGGCCCAAGUGGGAUUAGCUAGUUGGUGAGGUAAUGGCUCACCAAGGCGACGAUCCCUAGCUGGUUUGAGAGGAUGAUCAGCCACACUGGAACUGAGACACGGUCCAGACUCCUACGGGAGGCAGCAGUGGGGAAUAUUGCACAAUGGGCGCAAGCCUGAUGCAGCCAUGCCGCGUGUGUGAAGAAGGCCUUCGGGUUGUAAAGCACUUUCAGUAAGGAGGAAAGGUUAGUAGUUAAUACCUGCUAGCUGUGACGUUACUUACAGAAGAAGCACCGGCUAACUCCGUGCCAGCAGCCGCGGUAAUACGGAGGGUGCGAGCGUUAAUCGGAAUUACUGGGCGUAAAGCGUACGCAGGCGGUUUGUUAAGCGAGAUGUGAAAGCCCCGGGCUCAACCUGGGAACUGCAUUUCGAACUGGCAAACUAGAGUGUGAUAGAGGGUGGUAGAAUUUCAGGUGUAGCGGUGAA